rnacentral:snRNA from 1 species
AUUGGUUCUCAGUCUCUUGACUAAGAGCAACUGUAGUAUCUGUUCUUAUCAGUUUAAGAUCUGAUACGUCCACUAUCCAAAGACAAUAUAUUAAGUGGGUUUUUAGAGUAGGGAAGUGGAAAAAGAGCUUGCUCUGCCCACUGCACAGAUCAUUCUGGUAUUGCAGCACCUCCAGCAAUAGUGCACCCCCU